GAGGCCCACCCAGCCUGAUGACAGGUGAUCCCAGCAGCGGAGGGGAGAACGUGGGGCGGCAGGCUCUCCGUCCAGGGCCACCCUGGCUACCUGCCAGCCAUGAAGCCACCAAUUCAAGUGUCCUCAUCACUUGGGGAUUCUCACAGCAGCGGCAGACGCUUCCCCGUGGGGUCGCUCUGGAGUCUGGGACCCAAGAGAUGAAUUUCAGGGCAAGCCUUUCCUGAGUGGGACCUGCAAAAACGUGCACCUGUCGGCCUGGGGCGCAUAGACACUGUGAUCCGGGGCUGUGACCCGCAAGCUGCAUCUGUGCACCCCGCUCCAGCCCUGGGGAGCGGGGGCGCGGACCCUGCUGGGCUCCCUCUGGCCACCGAGGCCGAGGCGGGAUGGGGCGGUCCCUCCAGACUGCCAGAAAGGCCGCACCUGCCCACAGUGUGGGGGGCCGCCACAGAGGCCUCUGGGGUGUUUCAUCAGAGCAUUUCUCAAGUUCUAAAAAUGUGCCCAUGGCAACAACAGAACGGGCUGUUUGAGAAAAAUAAAAUGAAACGAAGAUGAGAAAA